rnacentral:rRNA from 1 species
GACGAACGCUGGCGGCGUGCUUAACACAUGCAAGUCGAACGGAAAGGCCCUGCGUUUGUGGGGUGCUCGAUUGGCGAACGGGUGAGUAACACGUGAGUAACCUGCCCUUGACUUUGGGAUAACUUCAGGAAACUGGGGCUAAUACCGGAUAGGAUCUCCUGCUGCAUGGUGGGGGUUGGAAAGUUUCGGCGGUUGGGGAUGGACUCGCGGCUUAUCAGCUUGUUGGUGGGGUAGUGGCUUACCAAGGCUUUGACGGGUAGCCGGCCUGAGAGGGUGACCGGCCACAUUGGGACUGAGAGACGGCCUAGUCUCCUACGGGAGGCAGCAGUGGGGAAUCUUGCACAAUGAGCGGAAGCCUGAUGCAGCAACGCCGCGUGCGGGAUGACGGCCUUCGGGUUGUAAACCGCUUUCGCAUGUGACGAAGCGUGAGUGACGGUAAUGAGUAAAGAAGCACCGGCUAACUACGUG